rnacentral:rRNA from 1 species
UACGAAGGGUGCAAGCGUUACUCGGAAUUACUGGGCGUAAAGCGUGCGUAGGUGGUGAGUUAAGUCUGAUGUGAAAUCCCCGGGCUCAACCUGGGAAUGGCAUUGGAUACUGGCUCGCUAGAGUGCGGUAGAGGGUGGUGGAAUUCCCGGUGUAGCAGUGAAAUGCGUAGAGAUCGGGAGGAACAUCUGUGGCGAAGGCGGCCACCUGGACCAACACUGACACUCAGACCCGAAAGCGUGGGGAUCAAACAGG